CGCCGAGAAGCUGAAGGAAAAAAGACGCAGAAUGUUGGAUUAAAGGAGGCAGGAUGGGCCAAAUACUCCUAUACAGUCCACGCAAAGAGGGGUUGGACGAGCUCGGGCCUGUGGGAGCUGAGGCUGGAAGGACCUUGUAUGUCAUGCUGAGAAGUCUGGACUACAUGUCUUCAACUGAAGGUUUUCGAGGAGAGGGAUGUGAUUGGAUAUGUGUUGUAGAAAGAUAACUUUGCUUUUUAAGAAAACAACUUUAUUGAGGGAAGGGUAUCAAUUUACUUCUAAG
rnacentral:lncRNA from 1 species